rnacentral:lncRNA from 1 species
GAUAGAUAGAAAAGGAAAGACAAAGACAAAAAAAAAAAAAAAAAAGGACCAGAGGCCCACAACCUUGACCUUCUUUCCUCGUUCUUCAAACCCUAAACACAUAAACACAAAAUUAAUCAUAUUAUCUUCAUUAACACCUCCUUUAAUUAAUCACAUUUCUGUGCAUUAAAAUUUAGCCCUACUACUUAAUGUGUGGGACCAACGAAAAACCCAACAAUAAUUGCUUGUGAGUUUGUGCACGUGUGGGGGGUUAUUUUUAGAGAUUUUUAUUCAUAUUCCUUUCUUUUUAUUUGUUGAGUGCCCGAAAUCCAAUGCGCACGAUAGCAACAGAAAUAGUAAAAAUUGGGUUGGAAAUAGUAUGAAUCCACCAUUCUCUCUCUCUCUCUCUCUCUCUCUCUCUCAGAGAAGCGAAGCGUACCGUAACAGUGACAGUGACAGAAUGGCCACGCUGUCGGUGACGUUGGGGUCAAACUAAACGGCUCCGAUUGGUCCACGUCAGCACCACGGACAUGGGCACGUGUUGAUUGCAGCUGCUAGGCCCCACCCCCUCCAACUCAAGACAUCAUCAUUUUUUUGUAUAUCUCCUCAAUUUUUC